ACCUGGCGAUGAUGUGUGCAUCUGGUUGAAAAAGGGUUUUCUCCUAGUUCCUACCCGGUCCUGUGUCCGAGGUGGAAACGAGAAACAUGCCAAUCGAAAGGAAAAGCUCCAGCGAUUGGCGGGGCGGCUCGUUACGACGAACCGUCUUCUCGCUCGAGAUCUUUCGUGCCAUCCCGACGGCACGGCAGCGAAAGCUCCAGCGGAAGAGAAAGUCAAGACGGCAACGCUCCACCACGCGUCGUGGGAGGAGAGGAGAUGGGCGACGCGUGCGUUUUUACUGUUGCCCUCCUCCCGACUCGUUUUCAAUGUGUUCCUCGACCGCGCAGUCGAUGACGGUGUCGGUUCGAACUAUAAUCGAUGGUGUUCUCGGUUGUAAAAAAACACUUGGUAAUCGUGCGCGAUGGCACGCCUUUCACGAUUUCGAGGUGGCCAAACCGCCUGUCGUCUAGGCAUCCUAUGUUCGGAGAAACAGGUUUUGCACCGAAAACGUGGUCGUUUGCCAUAUGAGGCGACCGCGACUUGCUUAGACACAGCAGAUUUCCGUAACCCUGCUUAAUUAUCUUAACCGCUUACGAAGCUACCACUUCGCGCAUAAGAUCUACUCGGAUUGGAUCGACCGGAUCGUAAAGGAUUGACAGCCCCAUCGGCUUAAGGCGCAUGCUCGAAAGGGCAGUGUCCCUCUUUCUUCUUUGGACUUAGUGAAUCGUGCUCCUGUCUCUUGUCACGGACGACAUGGGCCAGAGCUUGAAUUUGCAAUGUACUUCCUUUCGAUAAAGAUAAAGUUUUCUUUAACCUCUA